CCAGAUCUUCAGGCCCGACAACUUCGUGUUCGACCCACCAGCAUGGAGCCCUGUGCCCUCAGAAGUAAUCUGCUCACAGAUGCAGCCUGCUGGCUUCCUUCCCUCUCUCAGCUCAGUUCCUUACUCCUCUCCUGCUGCUUCUUGAGAUCAGCUGGCUAAAAAACUUCCACUCAAUCCUUGUCUCAGGUCUGCUUCUGGAGUCCGACCUAGGACACUCACCAAAGAGGAGACGGUCUCAUCCUCUGCUCCUUUUUGGCCCCAAAUUCCCACUGUGAACGAAACAUCAAAGGCUAAGAGGCAAUUAUCUCCAGAAUAUCUCCGUGGAACUGUGUAAUCAGAGAACUCACCCCGGAGCAGGACCAUUCUAUGGAGAGGUUCUGGAAGACUCCAGCUGACCAUGAAGAGCCCAAGAUAUGGGAGCUGUUCAUAAAGGUGCAAGAUCCAGGUGCUUGCACUCACUAGCUUUGUGGCCAACCCUUUCAGCCUCCUUUCCGAGCUGUGAAUUGG